rnacentral:rRNA from 1 species
UUAAGCCAUGCGAGUCAAAUGUUCUUCGUGAACAUGGCGUACUGCUCAGUAACACGUGGAUAACCUGCCGUUAGGACUGGCAUAACCCCGGGAAACUGGGGAUAAUUCCGGAUAGUUCAUGGUAGCUGGAAUGCUCCAUGAUCGAAAGCUAUUGCGCCUAAGGAUGUGUCUGCGGUCUAUCAGGUAGUAGUGGGUGUAAUGUACCUACUAGCCGACGACGGAUACGGGUUGUGGGAGCAAGAGCCCGGAGAUGGAUUCUGAGACAUGAAUCCAGGCCCUACGGGGCGCAGCAGGCGCGAAAACUUUACAAUGCGGGAAACCGCGAUAAGGGGACACCGAGUGCCAGCAUCUUAUGUUGGCUGUCCGCAUGUAUAAAUCACAUGUGUUAGCAAGGGCCGGGCAAGACCGGUGCCAGCCGCCGCGGUAACACCGGCGGCCCGAGUGGUGGCCACUAUUAUUGGGUCUAAAGGGUCCGUAGCCGGUUUGGUCAGUCUUCCGGGAAAUCUGACGGCUUAACCGUUAGGCUUUCGGGGGAUACUACCAGGCUUGGGACCGGGAGAGGUAAGAGGUACUACGGGGGUAGGAGUGAAAUCUUGUAAUCCUCGUGGGACCACCAGUGGCGAAGGCGUCUUACCAGAACGGGUCCGACGGUGAGGGACGAAAGCUGGGGGCACGAACCGGAUUAGAUACCCGGGUAGUCCCAGCCGUAAACUAUGCUCGCUAGGUGUCAGGGACGGUGCGACCGUUUCUGGUGCCGCAGGGAAGCCGUGAAGCGAGCCACCUGGGAAGUACGGUCGCAAGGCUGAAACUUAAAGGGAUUGGCGGGGGAGCACUACAACGGGUGGAGCCUGCGGUUUAAUUGGACUCAACGCCGGAAAACUCACCGGGGGCGACAGCAAUAUGUAGG